GUUGUAAUUUUCUUGUGUAAACUUUCCAAAACAGGGGAUGUACCUUUAAUGUAGUGGUGUGUUUCGGGGUCUACAGCCUGCAGGCAUUAGAUGAGGCCUUCCAGUUCGUUGACUAUUUAGAUAAAAGCACCCUACUGCUAGAGUGGCUCCAAAUGUCUGCAGUUAGUUCCUUUGCAGAAUUAAUGUUCAUUACUGUGAUAUCUGUUUUGUGGUGUGGUAAUAGGGAAGCUGCUAGAUAAAUUUGAGGAUAGAUUUAUGUAUGCAAUACAGUUUGUUUAAGGUUAAAAUUGUGGAAACCUUUUGAUAUUUAGACACUAUUGUUCUUUGAAGUUGGCCUAUCACUUUGAAAAGUCACAAGAUCUGAUCAAAAGGAAUGUAUACAAAAAGUGAGGAUCAAAAAUGUAUAGUAAAACUCAGAAUAUCUGCUAACAUUCAGCUGGUCAAACAUUCCUCUCCCACUCCCCAAAUUAGUUGAAAUGAUGACACCUUACAGCUACAGUCUAAUCUAAAGUCAGCUUUUUCCUAGUCAAGGAAGAAAUAAGUUAAAGUAUCAUGAGCAAAGAAGAAAUCUGAUGGCAGCUUUUUACUACUCUUUCUAUUAAUGCAGGAGUAAUAGGCAGGAGUUCACAGCUUUAGCAGCCAUCUUAUUCUAAAUCUCUUCCAUUGCUGUUUGAUAAGGCCAAGAUAUAUUGUCUUGAGCAAAAGGGCAUGGAAGAUCUGGCUCUGGAAGGUAUGCAUUCAACAUUUUGAGUAUAAAAUGAGAUAAAUGCAAAGAAAGCAUAUUUCUCCUUCCCACCCAAAAAAUGAAUAGAAAAAUCAAAGCAGAUGAGGCAUCCCAUUGGGCAGGAAGAAUGGGAUUUUCUGAGUCUAUUAUAGAGAGGAAAGAAGAUAAAACCAUUGAAGUGAAUUAAAUAAAAAUAAAAAGACCAAGAUUACAUCAGAUUUACAUAAUUGUCCAGAUGGACAAAAAGAGUCAUAUAUACCUGAAAUUGAUAAGAUCUGAUCACACAAAUCAGAAAUGGCAACAAAAGGUGUCCAAUGAAUCAGAAGCCAAAGGCUAGAUGAUAAUUGCCUGAGGCAACAUCAAAGGCUGCUUGGCAAGGCAGCAGCCAAAGGCUAAAUGAAGUUGCCUGGAGCAUCAUCAAGAACAGCUAGUACAAACCCUGGUUUGAGGGAGAAUACUUUAUCACUUUCUCUCUUCACAUUUCCUGAAAAACCCCUGACACUUUUACGUCUUGAAGGGCAUGUGUAUGACUCACAGCUGGUCUCCACUACUGCAUAUUCUUUGCUUUUUAUGAUACCUGCAGAUGGAAACAAAACCAAACUGUUUUCAACUUUGUGACCACCCCUGGCUAAAAAUUGAAAAGCUUUACAAAGGAGAACCCAAACUUCCUUUGCUUUGCUUACAUGUUUAUUACAAUUAAUCCAUCUGAAGAACUCCAUCUUGUGUCUGAUGCUCAGCUGACAAUGUUUAUGUGGGGUGAGGGAGAAAUUCUCCCCACAACUGUACACAGAGGUUAAGAGUGACCAUCUCUUCUCCAGUCUGCUGAAUGGCACUGCCACAGUUUCUACUGGUCAAAACCCAGGUGUUACUUCAAGCUUUAGCUGUACAUGCUGGAACAACUCAUUCCUCUGUCAUUGCUAACAAAUCUGUCAUAGUUGCGGCAAUUAAGCAUAAAUGUUACAAAAAUAGAUAAUUUAUAACAUUUCAGGGGGCUUUAAAUUAUUGAUUAUUCAGAACAGAGAUCUUCCGAGGACUAAGAAAAGCAGAAGUAGGGAAAGGGAAUAGUAGCACCAGGGCUAAGCAUGCUGCUUGAUGCAGGGCCAAAAAAAUCUCACCUGCUACUAUGUGUGUAUAUAUAUAUGCCACUUUGAAACCUGUCUUGGGUGAAGUGGCAGAAUAAGAAGGGCAACAUAAAAAGAGUGACAAAGGAAAUAACUUUUUCUCAAUUUCAUGAUGUACAGUACAGAUUUUGAUCAUCAUUAGACUCUCCUGUAAGCUUUUCCCUGAUGCGAGGUUGCUGGACCUUGGCUUCUAACCAGCUUAAAACCAACAUGAAGAGGAUAAUGGCAAAGUUUAGUUACUGCAGUUAUGCUGAACAGUGACAAACUGUGUCAUGGCAUUGUGUUGAAGACAAAUACCUUCUGAGGAGAGAAGAAAUCUGAAAUUUUCACAUGUGUACUGAAAUCUGAAGAGAUAAAAGCAAAAUUGACCGCAGUGCCAUACUGGAAUACCUCCCCAAAGUAAGCUACAGCUCCUGGUGGUCACAUUAGUGUUGUCUUCGUCAACCACACUGGGGACAGCUCUGACACUCAGCCCGUAGGUACAGAUUGACUUCUGUCUACAAGGACUUCAUGGACAUGGCAAGCCUCCCAGGAGCCCUCAGGGAAAAGAGCAGCAUCGCUGCAAGUUGUGGAGUCAUCCAGGGGAAUCCAGUGACUCUACAACUACUUGUGUAGGAACUUGGUUGCUUUGUCUGAUUGCAUCACCUGUGAAAGUGUCACAGAAUCUGAAGUAUUUACUUGAUCUAACCAGACCCCAUCGCUUGCAAAGGAAAUCUGACAAGUAGCGGAGAACAAUAUAUGACUUAAGCUGGAGAAAUUGCUUUGCCAUGGAAAGCAGAGACCACCAAACCCAGAAAUCUUUACAAGUCGUGUGUAUACACCAAGAGACACUGGGAGUGCAGCAAUGGGCCAUGAAGAAAGCUCUACUCCUGCCUUGGUAGCUCUGGAAUAAGUGGAAAAAGAUAUUUUGUUUCUGGUCUUUUUUCUUCUUUUUUUUCUUUUUUUAAAUUUUAUUUUUAAGGUCUGUUGCUUUUCCAAUGCCCAGAAAUGCCUUCCCUGAAUGGGAUAAAAUUUGCAUUCAUUUCUGCAUUUACCACUCUGUGUGCACACAUGUGCAUGUAGUUUUCAUGCAUAAACUGAAAGGAAAAAUGGUGUUCUAUUUUACAAUUAAGUUUAAUCUGGUACGUGUUACUUGAAGAAUAAUAGCUAGCGGUAUUGACAAUGAUGCAUAAAUACUUUGUGGCAUGACUGCAGCAGUGACAUUGUAGUUCUGCUGUUCCCUAUUGUUACUUUAAAAGACUGAUAGCAGAGAUGGAGUGGGAGUGGGUCCCUCCUUUAUGAAAUGCGCUCUACCAGCCAAUACUACUUUUGUAAUAUGAGUGCAAAUCCUUAAUGAUUAUUUUACUCUGCUGUCCUUUAAAUAACAAAACAUAUUCAGCCCUGUAUUUUGCUAAUUACCACAGCUGUCGAAAUGGAUUUCCUACUUGUUUGGAGUGUGCAUCAGGAAAAAUGUAUCAGUUUCCUUAAUGAUACUUGGGUUUACUCUGCUUAUCAGAGGGGUAGUCCAAGUGUGAUUAGAUCUACGAAUUAGAUUUUCACAAUAAAAAUGGUAUUCCAGCAUUUCCACUACAA